rnacentral:rRNA from 1 species
GAUGAACGCUGGCGGCGUGCCUAAUACAUGCAAGUCGAGCGAAUGGAUUAAGAGCUUGCUCUUAUGAAGUUAGCGGCGGACGGGUGAGUAACACGUGGGUAACCUGCCCAUAAGACUGGGAUAACUCCGGGAAACCGGGGCUAAUACCGGAUAACAUUUUGAACCGCAUGGUUCGAAAUUGAUAUGCGGCUGCGGCUGUCACUUAUGGAUGGACACGCGUCGCAUUAGCUAGUUGGUGAGGUAACGGCUCACCAAGGCGAAGAUGCGUAGCCGACCUGAGAGGGUGAUCGGCCACACUGGGACUGAGACACGGCCCAGACUCCUACGGGAGGCAGCAGUAGGGAAUCUUCCGCAAUGGACGAAAGUCUGACGGAGCAACGCCGCGUGAGUGAUGAAGGCUUUCGGGUCGUAAAACUCUGUUGUUAGGGAAGAACAAGUGCUAGUUGAAUAAGCUGGCACCUUGACGGUACCUAACCAGAAAGCCACGGCUAACUACGUGCCAGCAGCCGCCGUAA